rnacentral:rRNA from 1 species
AUUGAACGCUGGCGGCAGGCCUAACACAUGCAAGUCGAACGAGUGGCGGACGGGUGAGUAAUGUAUGGGGAACUGCCCGAUGGAGGGGGAUAACUACUGGAAACGGUAGCUAAUACCGCAUACCAUCGGAUGUGCCCAUAUGGGAUUAGCUAGUAGGUGGGGUAACGGCUCACCUAGGCGACGAUCACUAGCUGGUCUGAGAGGAUGACACGCCACACGGGGAAUGCGCAACGGCCCAGACGCCUACGGGAGGCAGCAGUGGGGAAUAUUGCACAAGUGGCGCAAGCCUGCUGCAGCCAUGCCGAGUGGAUGAAGAAGGCCUUAGGGUUUUAAAGUACUUUCAGUGGGGAGGCGUUACCCGCAGAAGAAGCACCGGCUAACUCCGUGCCAGCCGCCGCGGUAAUAC